rnacentral:rRNA from 1 species
CCUACGGGAGGCAGCAGUGAGGAAUAUUGGUCAAUGGGCGCGAGCCUGAACCAGCCAAGUAGCGUGCAGGAUGACUGCCCUACGGGUUGUAAACUUCUUUUAUAACGGAAUAAAGUGAGGCACGCGUGCCUUUUUGUAUGUACUUUAUGAAUAAGGAUCGGCUAACUCCGUGCCAGCAGCCGCGGUAAUACGGAGGAUCCGAGCGUUAUCCGGAUUUAUUGGGUUUAAAGGGAGCGUAGGUGGGUUGUUAAGUCAGUUGUGAAAGUUUGCGGCUCAACCGUAAAAUUGCAAUUGAUACUGGCAGCCGUGAGUACAGUUGAGGUAGGCGGAAUUCGUGGUGUAGCGGUGAAAUGAUUAGAGAUCAAGAAGAAUACUCAUUGCGAAGGCGACCUACUAAGACAUAACUGACGCUGAGGCGCGAAAGCGUGGGGAGCAAACAGGAUUAGAUACCCCAGUAGUC